UGGGGGAUAUUGCACAAUGGGCGAAAGCCUGAUGCAGCGACGCCGCGUGGGGGAUGAUGGCUUUCGGGUUGUAAACCUCUUUCGCUAUCGAACAAGGCCCGCUUAGGGUGGGUUGAGGGUAGGUGGAGAAGAAGCGCCGGCUAACUACGUGCCAGCAGCCGCGGUAAUACGUAGGGCGCGAGCGUUGUCCGGAAUUAUUGGGCGUAAAGGGCUUGUAGGCGGCUUGUUGCGCCUGCUGUGAAAACGCGGGGCUUAACUUCGCGCGUGCAGUGGGUACGGGCAGGCUUGAGUGUGGUAGGGGUGACUGGAAUUACAGGUGUAGCGGUGGAAUGCGCAGAUAUCUGGAGGAACACCGAUGGCGAAGGCAGGUCACUGGGCCAUUACUGACGCUGAGGAGCGAAAGCAUGGGUAGCGAACAGG
rnacentral:rRNA from 1 species